rnacentral:rRNA from 1 species
UGGGGAAUUUUCCACAAUGGGCGAAAGCCUGAUGGAGCAACGCCGCGUGUGUGAUGAAGGUUUUCGGAUCGUAAAGCACUUUCGACUGGGACGAAAAACCUCUGGCUAACAUCCAGGGGCCUGACGGUACCAGGAGAAGAAGCACCGGCUAACUCUGUGCCAGCAGCCGCGGUAAUACAGAGGGUGCAAGCGUUGUUCGGAAUUAUUGGGCGUAAAGCGCGUGUAGGCGGCCUGGCAAGUCAGAUGUGAAAGCCCUCGGCUUAACCGAGGAAGUGCGUCUGAAACUGCCGGGCUUGAGUGUCGGAGAGGAUGGCGGAAUUCCGCAAGUAGAGGUGAAAUUCGUAGAUAUGCGGAGGAACACCGGUGGCGAAGGCGGCCAUCUGGACGACGACUGACGCUG